CCUGCCCCUAUAAAGUAAGUGGCUGCUCAGUCACAUUUGCAUUUCUAGGUGAUAGAAAUGAGAGAGGCUAUAUCUGUGUUCAGUAUUCUGACAGAUGAACAUGGGAAUAGUUAGUAGUCUAACAUU